CCUACGGGUGGCAGCAGUGAGGAAUAUUGGUCAAUGGGCGGAAGCCUGAACCAGCCAAGUAGCGUGCAGGAUGACGGCCCUACGGGUUGUAAACUGCUUUUAUACGGGAAUAACGCGCCUUACGUGUAGGGCUUUGCAUGUACCGUAUGAAUAAGGAACGGCUAAUUCCGUUCCAGCCGCCGCGGUAAUACGGAAGGUCCGGGCGUUAUCCGGAUUUAUUGGGUGUAACGGGAGCUUAGGCCGCAUGUCAAGCGUGCUGUGAAAUGUCCGGGCUCAACCCGGGCCUUGCAGCGCGAACUGGCGUGCUUGAGUCCGCGGAAGGCAGGCGGAAUUCGUCGUGUAGCGGUGAAAUGCUUAGAUAUGACGAAGAACCCCGAUUGCGAAGGCAGCUUGCUGCAGCGGAACUGACGCUGAUGCUCGAAAGCGCGGGUAUCGAACAGGAUUAGAUACCCCAGUAGUC
rnacentral:rRNA from 1 species